rnacentral:lncRNA from 1 species
GGUUCCUCUUGUGUUCUAACCCCUAGAGAUUAGCUUCAGGAUUGGUUCUAUACAGAGCAUGUAGAUGUAUAUGUCUGUGUGUAAUUUAAUCCAGCCAUCACUGAGUCUCUGAAAGCUGUUUCUUUUAGUUGUCACCUUUUCUCUUUUUCUUGAUGCUUCUUUCUCAGCCCUUGUAUAGGAUUCAGAUUUGGUGACCUGGUGGCUGCUAUAACUGAUUAGUGUAUUUUUUGCCUCUCUCCUUGCCUUUUAGUUUUCCCUACUAAUUUGCUUGUUUUAUAGCAAGUAUAUUCUUUUCAGAGUUUAAGUUUUCAAAUUAAUAAAUGCUGAAAACAAAACCGGUUUAUUAGGUAUUUUAGAAUUCCCCCCCUCCAAAUGUAAUUCUAAUGCAAUAUCAGAGGCAUGAAUUGAUAUUUUAGAUUUUUAGAGAUAAAUUGAAUUUUUAAAGUUUUUGGUUGCUUAAUCUAAAUAUUAGAAAUGUAAAAUAUGCUAUUACUCUUAAAUUUAAGGGUUUCCUUCUUUUGAAAAAGGUAAAUUUGGUAUGUAUUUUAUGGGUGACACUUGGGGCAAUAUGGAUCCAGAGUUAUAAAAUGACAAGCUAUCGUCUAGGAAUUUAUCUUAAAGAAACAGUCAUAUGUACCAGAUUGCUCAUUGCCCUGUUUUUUGCAACAGCAAAACAUGGAAAGUAACCUAAACCCCUAUUAAUAAAGGAUUGAUUAAGUCAUUAGGGCCUAUCCAUAUAGUGAAAUACUGUGCAAUCUUUAAACAGGAUGAAUAUGCUUAAUGUAUGAUUUUUUUUUUUUUUUUUGCUUUUCAGGGACACACCUUUGGCAUAUGGAAGUUCCCAGGCUAGGGUGUUGAAUCAGAGCUGCAGCUGCCAGCCUACGCCACUAGCCACAGCAAUGCAGGAUCUGAGCCUCAUAUUCGACCUACAGCACAGCUCACAGCAAUGCCAGAUCCUUAACCCACUGAGCAAGGCCAGGAAUCAAACCUGCAUCCUCAUGUAUGCUAGUCGGGUUCAUAACCCACUGAGCCACAAUGGGAGCUCCCUAAUUUUCUUUAAUAUGGACAAAAGCUCUGUAUAUAGAAAUCUUAAAAGAAAGUAUGUAUGCCAAAUACUAAUAAGAGCUUAUUAUCUCUAGGUAAUAAUAUUGUGGGUGAUCUUUUUUCUCAAUUUUUUUUACCUAGGAUGUACUGCUUUUAUAAUCUCGGAAGAAUGAUGAAAUUAUUAAAGAAUAGACAUACUAAUUGAAAACCUCUCCUGUUUGUGCUAAAUAAAGCUUCAUUCCCUGAGGUGACCAGUUCCUCUCAAUGGACUGUGUUGUAUUGAAUGAGAAGUGAAAUAUACUUUCUCAUAUGCCUUUAAAAAUCUUUUCUUAUUUAAUUAAUUAAUUAAUUAAUUGUCUCUUCUGGGGGCCACACCUGCAGCAUAUUGGAGGUUCCCAGGCUAGAGGUCUAAUUGGAGCUAUAGCUUCCAGCCCUCACCACAGCAACACCAGAUCUGAGUCGAGUCUGCAACCUACACCACACUCAUGGCAACGCUGGAUCCCUAACCCACUGAGCAAGGCCAGGGAUCGAACCCACAACCUCCUGGUUCCUAGUCGGAUUUGUUAACCACUGAGUCACAAGGGGAAAUCCUAAAAAUAUUUUCUAUAUUACUAAUAAGCAAGAAUAUUUUCUAGACUCUUAUAACAGGAAAGAAAAAAAUUAUAUAGAGGACCAAACAAAUAUCAGUUUUUAGAACAAACUCACUGAAAAAACACUCAGGCACAUAGACAUUUACAUUGCUAAAGAGAAUAAGUUGUGCCUCAUUUCUUACUAUGAAGGAUUUUUUCCCCCUGUUAAAAUUCUCAUUAAAAUAUGAGGAAUUCAUAUGUAUGGUAUGAGUAAAGGCUAGUGUUUAAAAGCAUGAGCUCCAAGACUUUCUGUGUUACUUUUGAGGAGUUAGACCUCAGUCUCUUCAUCUGUAAAAUGUGGGUAGUACUUUGCUAAGCUGUUGGGAGGAUUAAAUUAGAUAAGUGCUUACUUAGCAUGGUGCCAUAUACUUAGCAGUAACCAAGGAGAAAGAAAUGGUGGGAGGGGUAUGAGCAUAAUAAUAACAGUAAUGAUGGUGAUAAUAUUGGUGCUGAUAGUAAUACUAGUUAUUAUUUGCUCCCUUCUCAAUAGAGGUUUGCAUGAGGGCAGAGGCUUGUUUGCCACAGUUAUCAGCCAGUCCAGUUACCUUGACCAAGACAGAUAUGUGGUCUCCUUUUAGCCCAUUGUGCUCUCUUACCCUGGUAUCUAUAGGUACACUAUCCAAAAACAAGGGGGAAAGAAAGUGCUUAGGGUCUCACAGGCAUAGUUGGUGCUCUGUAAAUGUUGUUGAAUGAAUGGUGACCUAAAGCAAGCAUUUUCUAUAGACAGUGUGUGGUGAACUUUUAAAAGAGGGGUUUGAUCAUCUUUAAAGUAUAUGGAAGGGGAGUUCCCUGGUGGCUCAGCAAGUUAUGGAUCUAGCAUUUUCAUUGCUGUGGCACAAGUUCCAUCCCUGGCUUGGGAAUUUCCG